UACGGAGGGGACUAGCGUUGUUCGGAAUUAUUGGGCGUAAAGCGCACGUAGGCGGCUUUGCAAGUCGGUUGUGAAAUCCCUCGGCUCAACCAAGGAAGUGCAUCCGAAACUGCAGAGCUUGAGUACCAAAGAGGAUCGCGGAAUUCCCGGUGUAGAGGUGAAAUUCGUAGAUAUCGGGAGGAACACCAGUGGCGAAGGCGGCGAUCUGGGUGGAUACUGACGCUGAGGUGCGAAAGCGUGGGGAGCAAACAGG
rnacentral:rRNA from 1 species